rnacentral:rRNA from 1 species
UGGGGAAUAUUGCACAAUGGGCGAAAGCCUGAUGCAGCAACGCCGCGUGAACGAUGAAGGUCUUCGGAUCGUAAAGUUCUGUUGCAGGGGAAGAUAAUGACGGUACCCUGUGAGGAAGCCCCGGCUAACUACGUGCCAGCAGCCGCCGUAAUACGUAGGGGCUAGCGUUAUCCGGAUUUACUGGGCUAAAGGGUGCGUAGGUGGUCCUUCAAGUCGGUGGUUAAAGGGUCGGCUCAACCGUAGUAAGCCGCCGAAACUGGAGGACUUGAGUGCAGGAGAGGAAAGUGGAAUUCCCAGUGUAGCGGUGAAAUGCGUAGAUAUUGGGAGGAACCCCAGUAGCGAAGGCGGCUUUCUGGACUGCAACUGACACUGAGGCACGAAAGCGUGGGUAGCAAACAGGAUUAGAUACCCUGGUAGUCCACGCUGUAAACGAUGAGUACUAGGUGUCGGGGGUUACCCCCCUCGGUGCCGCACUAACGCAUUAAGUACUCCGCCUGGGGAGUACGCACGCAAGUGUG